UCCGUCCUCCCGUCCGCCGUCAGAUCGGCCACCGGCGCUCCAGCGUCGGCUAUGAGAGAGGCAGUGCACGUGCUGCCCAGACCAUGGCGUCGCUGCCGGCCUGCUCGCUGGCGCCCGCGUGCACCAAUGCGCGCGGCUCCGUCGAGCUCGCCGACGCGAGGCCGUCGUCCGUGACGCGCUGCAAGGAGGUCGUCUCCUCGGAGGAGGGGAACGGGGACGUUCUUCGCUGGAUUCCGCCUUGGCCGCCGACUCCGGCCGCCGCUGCUCACCGUCUCCUCCGCCGCUGAAGAUACCGGAUGUAGGAGGCGUCCACGUCGUCCAGGAGGCCGCCCCCAAAGCACCACCGCUGCUACCUCAACGCUGCCGUACAGGACCUCGUCGCAUCGAAAGGUUCGUAUGCAUGCCAGGCAAGAAGACGCUCCUGGAGCACGCCGUGUCCGGCGGCAACCUGCCUUCUUCAUGACCAUAGUGCCGAUCUUUAUCAGGGAAGUGAAGAGGCCCACUGCUCUUCAUCUAGCUGCUCUGCAAGAUGGGAGAUACUUCAGUGGAGGUGACCGAGCAGAGUGACUCCUCACUCGAAGCAAUGGGCAUGACCCCUGGCUCCGACUACCUCAUUUGCUCCCGCGCCGCGACCGUGGUGGCAGCGAUGGUUGGCCUCGGCUACAACCUCCCCGGCUUUGUUUGCCCCAAAGAGAAGAGCAUAUUCGUCAGUGAGCAGCACGGGGUUGAGAGAUGGAGGCGGAGAUGUACCACUGCUCUUCAUGACCAUAGUGCUGAUCGUUAUCAAGGAAGUGAACAGGCCCAUUGGCCGUGUUGGCAGUUGAUGGUUGGCCUCGGGUACAACCUCCCUUCGCUGUGGCUGUAUUGUGGUCUGGGAGUCAAGACGUUGACCUGGUUGUUUAGGUUCCAGUUGCACGAUUUCUAGCCUUUGGUCAUUUCAUCAAUAAAGGAUGUUCUAGUUAACUCAUUAUGUGAUGUCUAGGAUUAGGUAGUGUUUGAAUUUAUUGCUAGCUCUUGGCAUUAUCUGGGCGUCGUUACCAUCUGUGUGCAUAUAUUUUUGGACAAAAUCGUGCUCCUGUGUAUGUGUUGUGGAACAGGUUGAGCUGGUUAUCCUUGUGUAGCAAUUAGUACCU